AAAAGGUUCCAAUAGAAACCCUACGCAGAAUGUCCUCCCAAUCUCGCCGCUUUUCACGGAAGGAAGGAGAUAGUGGUCGGCAUCGGCGCCGAUUUACAUGCCGGCAUGGUCGGCACGCUCGACGUUUGGGUUGAUGUGACGUUGCGGCUGGCUCCUCGGAGCUCUGCACGCCCCGCUUGUCGAGGAUGCGCGGGAAGCCGUCCCUGAAUGCGUGGGCCGCCGCCCAUUAAUGGUAGGUGCGGUGGCCGGCAAACGGAGGCUGCACGCGAUACAGUGACGACGCGGUGGCCGGGAGACGGGGUAUGUGCGGAGACGGUGGCUAGGAGACGGACGCUGUGCGGUCGCUGGGUGAUGGAGGCUGCUCUUGCCGCCGUCCAAAGGGAAACACACGUGGAGUGGAGAGGAGCGACAGUCGUGCAGCGCAAAGGCCAUGGAGUCGUCGUCGAGCAUGCCGAUCAAUGGUCUCUAUAUGGUACUAUGAAGAUCACGGGGAAACAACACCAUGGAACCAGAGAAUUAGAUUGCUUUGACAAAAAGGGAAUAGCAGAGCCGGUGUCAAAGUUGAACUCACCUCGAGGCGAUGAAAGCGAGACUGCAUGGUUGGUUGAUUGUAAGCACAUGUGUCCUCCAUGUGAAGAUAGACCACAACAGACUUAGGUGACAAUAAAUUCGUGAUUGCCACAACAGGUGACCUCGUGUGAUCUCCACAACAGGUGCCUCGUGUGAUCUCCCAAUGAUCUGUCGUUGUGCUGUGCUUGAUGGGCAGCGCUUGAUCCAGGGGUGUCCUUGAGUGACCAAGCCCGUAACAAAUAGUACGUACUUAAAUAACAGUCUCAAUAUGACCGAGAUAUUUGAGGAGAUUAUCCUGUACUUAAACAACAAAUAGUACGGGGUGUCUUCUGUUUUAGGAAGUAAAUCAGGCUGAUUGUUGCUUUUUUGCGGGGUUGUUAGGACGUGAUUGCUUCCAUAUCUUGUGCCAGCUAUUCUAGGAUGUAAUCACUGCCAAAUAUUGUUUCUCGGGUUUUUUUGUAAGGCAGGCUAA